AGAAACAGAAAAGUUCUCGUAAACGGACAAAUUAUCAUAUAAGGUUCGCAUGAAGCACUUGGGCAUCAUUAACUCGAAAUCAAGCUAAGAACCUGAAUUGCUGAGUUUUGACAUAUAACAGAACACUACUGUUUUACUCGGAUCAAAGUGUUUCUCAGCGUAAAUGAUUUAAGCUCUUCUGUAUCCUGAACCAACUCAUUCAGGUGUUGAAAGUUCACCAGCCGUUGUCAUGCUGCUCUUGCCACUCUUGGUAUUUUUCCCUUCUUUGCUGAACUUGAUGUUUGCCAUGGAUAACAGCGCUCUCUAUCGAAAUCCAAAAGGCGAUCUCUCUUUUGGUAAAUUUAAGCGCGAUCCCUUCCAUUACUUGUGGGUACAAAAACUUUCAUCGUCCAUGGUAGAAGAUCAGCUGGACUGCGCCUUCCUUUGUGUUCGUGACCCAAAGUGCUACUCGUUCAACUUAGCUGCGUUUCCUAACUCAAAUGGCCUUUAUCUGUGUGAUCUGUUGGGUACUGACAAGUACCGAGAAACUAAAACGUUCCAAGCAAACGCAACAUUUCAUCAUUACAGUCCACCGUCUCCAUGUGAAAGCACCCCUUGCAAGAACGAUGCUGUCUGUUUUCCUGAAAAUAAAUGGAAUUCCUAUCCCUGUGUCGAGUGUAAACCUGGAUUUUUUGGAAAUCACU